rnacentral:lncRNA from 1 species
AGCUUGAACAGGAACAAGGAAACAGCAUAGGACAAACCAGAGAUGGGGUGGCAUCAGGUUACCUCAGCCUGCCUUCCUUGCAAGGAUUAAAGCAAAGGGACUUUCUUACCACGUAGUUUGCAACUGGGUCUCUCUUCUGAUUUCACAGACAACGUCGUUGCAGUGGAACUUAAGCUUGAGUGACUCCCUUUUGGAACAACUCUGUGAGGCUGCUCAGAAGUCCCCAGAGAGAGGCCUGAGCUGCACCCCACAGUGUGUUUUGUCCGUGGCAUGCUCCCAACUCUAGCGUGGGUGGAGAGAGGUCAUGAAGAGUGGUUUACUUUACCUCCUACAGAAGUUCCUAAAGCAGGAGGCUGGAGGACCCCCGGUGGGAUGCUGCUUGGGAACGCAGCCCUCCCAGGCCACCAACGAGGGUGACUAAUGAAACCAGCUUUACACCUUCUCAGGGCAGAAGAGAAACUCCUGGGUCCUGGUGUGUGAUGUUCCCCUCCCUGUGUCAUGUGUUCUCAUCAUUCAACUCCCACUUAUGAGUUGGUUUUCUGUUCCUGUGUUAUUUUGCUGAGAAUGAUGGCUUCCAGCUUCAUCCAUGUCCCUGCAAAAAACAUAAACUCAUUCUUGUUUAUGGCUGCAUAGUAUUCCAUGGUGU